GAUGAACGCUGGCGGCGUGCCUAAUACAUGCAAGUCGAGCGAACGGACGAGAAGCUUGCUUCUCUGAUGUUAGCGGCGGACAGGUGAGUAACACGUGGAUAACCUCCCUAUAAGACUGGGAUAACUUCGGGAAACCGGCGCUAAUCCCGGAUAAUAUUUUGAACCGCAUGGUUCAAAAGUGAAAGACGGUCUUGCUGUCACUUAUCGAUGGAUCCGCGCUGCAUUAGCUAGUUGGUAAGGUAACGGCUUACCAAGGCAACGAUGCAUAGCCGACCUGAGAGGGUGAUCGGCCACACGGGAACUGAGACACGGUCCAGACUACUACGGGAGGCAGCAGUAGGGAAUCGUCCGCAAUGGGCGAAAGCCUGACGGAGCAACGCCGAGUGAGUGAUGAAGGUCUUCGGAUCGUAAAACUCUGUUAUUAGGGAAGAACAUAUGUGUAAGGAACUGUGCACAUCUUGACGGUACCUAAUCAGAAAGCCACGGCUAACUACGUG
rnacentral:rRNA from 1 species